rnacentral:rRNA from 1 species
AGAGUUUGAUCAUGGCUCAGGAUGAACGUUGGCGGUGUGCCUAAUACAUGCAAGUCGAACGGAGUUAAUAGCAAUAUUGACUUAGUGGCGAACGGGUGAGUAACGCGUUGGUGAUCUGCCUCGAAGUGUGGAAUAACGUUCCGAAAGGAACGCUAAUACCGCAUGUGCUCUCGAUUUUUAGAAAGUUGAGAGUAAAGGAUUUAUUCGCUUCGAGAGGAGCCUGCGUCCCAUCAGCUGGUUGGUAGGGUAACGGCCUACCAAGGCUAUGACGGGUAGGGGACCUGAGAGGGUGGCCCCCCACAAUGGAACUGAAACACGGUCCAUACACCUACGGGUGGCAGCAGUAGGGAAUAUUAGAAAUGGACGAAAGUCUGAUCUAGCAACACCGCGUGUGCGAAGAAGGCCUUCGGGUCGUAAAGCACUUUUUGGAAGGAAUAGGAAGGAAUGUACUUCCAGAAUAAGUCUCGGCUAACUACGUGCCAGCAGCCGCGGUAACACGUAGGAGGCGAACGUUAUCCGGAUUUACUGGGCGUAAAGCGCGUGUAGGUGGUACUGUAAGUAGGGCGUGAAAGCUCCCGGCUCAACUGGGAGAGGCCGUUCUAAACUACAGAACUAGAGGAUGGUAGAGGGAGGUGGAAUUCCAGGUGUAGCGGUGGAAUGCGCAGAUAUCUGGAGGAACACCGGUGGCGAAGGCGGCCUCCUGGACCAUUCCUGACACUCAGACGCGAAAGCUAGGGUAGCAAACGGGAUUAGAGACCCCGGUAGUCCUAGCCCUAAACGAUGUAGACUA